rnacentral:rRNA from 1 species
GUUUGAUCCUGGCUCAGAUUGAACGCUGGCGGAAUGCUUUACACAUGCAAGCGAACGGCAGCACGAGAGCUUGCUCUUGGUGGCGAGUGGCGAACGGGUGAGUAAUAUAUCGGAACGUAUCCAAUAAUGGGGGAUAACUAAUCGAAAGGUUGGCUAAUACCGCAUACGCCCUACGGGGGAAAGCAGGGGAUCUUCGGACCUUGCGUUAAUGGAGCGGCUGAUAUCUGAUUAGCUAGUAGGUGAGGUAAAGGCUCACCUAGGCUUCGAUCAGUAGCUGGUCUGAGAGGACGACCAGCCACACUGGAACUGAGACACGGUCCAGACUCCUACGGGAGGCAGCAGUGGGGAAUUUUGGACAAUGGGCGCAAGCCUGAUCCAGCCAUUCCGCGUGAGUGAAGAAGGCCUUCGGGUUGUAAAGCUCUUUCGCAAGGGAAGAAACGUUACGAGCGAAUAACUCGUGAUAAUGACGGUACCUUGAUAAGAAGCACCGGCUAACUACGUGCCAGCAGCCGCGGUAAUACGUAGGGUGCGAGCGUUAAUCGGAAUUACUGGGCGUAAAGCGUGCGCAGGCGGUUUUGUAAGUCAGAUGUGAAAUCCCCGAGCUCAACUUGGGAACUGCGUUUGAAACUACAAGGCUAGAGUAUGGUAGAGGGGGGUAGAAUUCCACGUGUAGCAGUGAAAUGCGUAGAGAUGUGGAGGAAUACCAAUGGCGAAGGCAGCCCCCUGGACUAAUACUGACGCUCAUGCACGAAAGCGUGGGGAGCAAACAGGAUUAGAUACCCUGGUAGUCCACGCCCUAAACGAUGUCUACUAGUUGUUGGGAGAGUAAAAUCUCUUAGUAACGCAGCUAACGCGUGAAGUAGACCGCCUGGGGAGUACGGUCGCAAGAUUAAAACUCAAAGGAAUUGACGGGGG